rnacentral:rRNA from 1 species
AUUGAACGCUGGCGGCAGGCCUAACACAUGCAAGUCGCACGGUAACAGGAAGACGCUUGUUUCUUUGCUGACGAGUGGCGGACGGGUGAGUAAUGUCUGGGAAACUGCCUGAUGUUGGGGGCUAACUACUGGAAACGGUAUCUAAUACCGCAUAACGUCGCAAGACCAAAGAGGGGGACCUUCGGGGCUCUUGCCAUCGGAUGUGCCCAGAUGGGAUUAGCUAGUAGGUGGGGUAACGGCUCACCGAGGCGACGAGCCCUAGCUGGUCUGAGAGGAUGACCAGCCACACUGGAACUGAGACAGGGUCCAGAGUCCUACGGGAGGCAGCAGUGGGGACUAUUGCACAAUGGGCGCAAGCCUGAUGCAGCCAUGCCGCGUGUAUGAGGAAGACGUCCGCGUUGUAAAAUACAUACAGCGGGGAGGAAGAGAGUAAUGUUAAUACCUCUGCUCAUUGACGUUACCCGCAGAAGAAGCACCGGCUAACUCCGGC